rnacentral:rRNA from 1 species
CCUACGGGUGGCAGCAGUAGGGAAUAUUGCUCAAUGGGGGAAACCCUGACGCAGCAACGCCGCGUGGGGGAUGAAGGUUUUCGGAUUGUAAACUCCUUUUGUUCGAGAAGAUCAUACCGGUAACUAACGAAUAAGCACUGGCCAACACCGUACCAGCAGCCGCGGUAAUACGGCGGGGGAAAGCGUUACUCGGGAUCACUGUGCGGAAAGAGCGCGUAGGCGGGAUAGCAAGUCAGAUGUGAAAUCCUAUGGCUUAACCGUAGAGCUUCAUUUGAAACUGUUAUUCUAGAGUAUGGGAGAGGUAGGUGGAAUUCUUUGUGUAGGGGUAAAAUCCGUAGAGAUAAGGAGGAAUACUCGUUGCGAAGGCGACCUUCUGGAACAUAACUGACGCUGAUGCGCGAAAGCGUGGGGAGCAAACAGGAUUAGAUACCCGAGUAGUC